rnacentral:rRNA from 1 species
UACGUAGGUCCCGAGCGUUGUCCGGAUUUAUUGGGCGUAAAGCGAGCGCAGGUGGUUUAUUAAGUCUGGUGUAAAAGGCAGUGGCUCAACCAUUGUAUGCAUUGGAAACUGGUAGACUUGAGUGCAGGAGAGGAGAGUGGAAUUCCAUGUGUAGCAGUGAAAUGCGUAGAUAUAUGGAGGAACACCGGUGGCGAAAGCGGCUCUCUGGCCUGUAACUGACACUGAGGCUCGAAAGCGCGGGGAGCAAACAGG